GGGAAGGUAGCUCAGUGGUAGAGUGCUUGCCUACCAUGCAUGAGGCCCUGGGUUUGAUUCCUCAGCACCA
rnacentral:tRNA from 1 species